rnacentral:rRNA from 1 species
UGAGUAACACGUAUCCAACCUGCCGUCUACUCUUGGACAGCCUUCUGAAAGGAAGAUUAAUACAAGAUGGCAUCAUGAGUCCGCAUGUUCACAUGAUUAAAGGUAUUCCGGUAGACGAUGGGGAUGCGUUCCAUUAGAUAGUAGGCGGGGUAACGGCCCACCUAGUCUUCGAUGGAUAGGGGCUCUGAGAGGAAGGUCCCCCACAUUGGAACUGAGACACGGUCCAA